CCUACGGGUGGCAGCAGUGGGGAAUAUUGCACAAUGGGGGGAACCCUGAUGCAGCGACGCUGCGUGAGUGAAGAAGUAUUUCGGUAUGUAAAGCUCUAUCAGCAGGGAAGAAAAUGACGGUACCUGACUAAGAAGCCCCGGCUAACUACGUGCCAGCAGCCGCGGUAAUACGUAGGGGGCAAGCGUUAUCCGGAUUUACUGGGUGUAAAGGGGGCGCAGACGGCUGUGCAAGUCUGGAGUGAAAGGCGGGGGCCCAACCCCCGGACUGCUCUGGAAACUGUAAAGCUGGAGUGCAGGAGAGGUAAGCGGAAUGCCUGGUGUAGCGGUGAAAUGCGUAGAGAUUAGGAGGAACACCAGUGGCGAAGGCGGCUUACUGGACUGUAACUGACGUUGAGGCUCGAAAGCGUGGGGAGCAAACAGGAUUAGAUACCCGUGUAGUC
rnacentral:rRNA from 1 species